UCACGUGACUGAUAAUGCGGAAGCAUGGAUCUGUCCACAAACAAGUGGUCUUGAGCUGAAUGGUGCAACAAUGUUGUUUUAUUGUGCGUUUUUCUUAUUUUCCCUGAAUGUCAAAGAUUAUGUGCUGUGUGUUCAAAGCAAGCCAGAACUCUCCGUCGGCGCAGAACCUGAGACGAUCGUUCCGCUGGCGGCAGAGGCCUCGAGCUGUGGUUGCCACAACCUGAAGAGAGAAGCAGUUGUGGAUAUCGAGAAGGAAAGCUCCAUAAUCACAGAAAACCCUGCUGACAAAUACUCGAAAAAGUCAAAUGAAAGGCAUACAGACACUCAGACGAAUGGAGAAGAAACUGAUUAUCGUAGUCAGAUGGUCCUGAUCCCAGGAGGGGAGUUCCUGAUGGGUACAGACAGUCCUGGCAUCCCCCAGGACGGGGAGGGUCCCCAGAGAAGGGUGCACCUGGACCAUUUCUACAUGGACGCUCAUGAGGUCAGCAACCGCCACUUCCAGAGCUUCAUCAAUGCCACGGGCUACAUCACUGAGGCAGAGAGGUUUGGAGAUUCGUUUGUGUUUGAGGGGGUGUUGAGUGAGGAGGUCAAAAGCCAGAUAUCCCAGGCAGUGGCUGCUGCCCCCUGGUGGUUGCCUGUCAGAGGAGCAGACUGGAGGCACCCUGAGGGCCCCGACUCCAGCAUCACAGACAGCAGGCUGGACCACCCUGUGCUGCAUGUGUCAUGGCAGGACGCUGUGGCCUACUGCUCCUGGGCCCACAAGAGACUACCCACAGAGGCUGAGUGGGAGUACGCCUGCAGAGGGGGCCUACAGGAGAGACUUUACCCAUGGGGGAACAACCUGAAACCUAAAGGACAGCACUACGCCAACCUCUGGCAGGGAAAGUUCCCCACACACAACUCAGAAGAGGACGGGUACACUAAAACCUCACCAGUGAAGUCAUUUCCUGCAAAUGGCUAUGGUCUGUACAACAUGGUAGGGAAUGCAUGGGAGUGGACAUCUGACUGGUGGACUGUACACCACACCACAGAUGAACGGCACAACCCGGCAGGUCCACCAUCAGGCACAGACCGAGUGAAGAAGGGAGGCUCCUACAUGUGCCAUAAGGACCUGCUUGAUGGUACCGAUGAUCCUCCACCAGGUGGACCGUUCAGGAUGUUCUUCGCUGUCAAGUGAGUUAUGGUCAGCAUCCUGUUGAGGAAGACAGAGGGAACAGACGGGGCCCAGACCCGACUGGCCAUGGUGCACUCAGCAAACAGGUGGUAGAUGUUUUCAGUAUCAUUACAUCCAUGGGGGGCAGCUCUCUGUACGUGCUAUGUGCCGUCUAUACAUUCAUUUCCUAGUGGGGAGGCAACUAUGAACAGCUAUCCAUGAGAUGUCUUUCUGUAAGUUUGUAAUGCCAUGGUGAUUGAUGUUUAACCAUACCUGUUGUGGGUCCACGGCUGAGCUGGCUCAAAGGUGUGCGAUGGUGUCCUUGGAGCAGAUGUGGGUCAUGAUGUCCUUGUACUUCCAGGACGCUAGACCAGCCGGGGGCAGACCUGACCUGCAGGCAAGAUAUCUCCACGUCUUGUACACCUGUGGGGGGUCCCAGCAAUAGGGUACAGUGUGGUCGAUGGUUCUGAGGAUGCGGGUAGCAAAGUACUGUUUGAAGUAGCUGGCUUUUCUGUCUGUCUUGUGGAUGUUGGUGACCAAAUUGGAUAGUCCCUGUGCCCUAAUGAUGUUGAGGAUGUCUGGGACCCCCUUCCCACCAUUCUCAACUGCAUUGUAAAGCGAAAUGCUUGUGCUUCUAGUUCCGACAAUGCAGUAAUAGCCAAUGAAUAAUCUAACCUAAUAAUUCCAAAACUACUACCUUAUACACACAACUGUAAAGGGAUAAAGAAUAUGUACAUAAAGAUAUAUGAAUGAGUACAGAACGGCAUAGGCAAGAUACAGUUUAUUUGCAAAUUAUGGUGGAAAAGAAGUAUUUGGUCACCUACAAACAUGCAAGAUUUCUGGCUCUCACAGACCUGUAACUUCUUCUUUAAGAGGCUCCUCUGUCCUCCACUCGUUACCUGUAUUAAUGGCACCUGUUUGAACUUGUUAUCAGUAUAAAAGAUACCUGUCCACAACCUCAAACAGUCACACUCCAAACUCCACUAUGGCCAAGACCAAAGAGCUGUCAAAGGACACCAGAAACAAAAUUGUAGACCUGCACCAGGCUGGGAAGACUGAAUCUGCAAUAGAUGCAGCACCAGUCCCAGCACCAGACCACCAGACGAGGCGCAGAGGAGAGACCAAAGAUCACACCUUCACCCUAGAGCUAGCAUGCCACAGGGAAGUACCACUAUUGACCUCUGGGCCUAAGUCUCCCUUGUGAUUCUGCUUGCUCCUCAGGUUGUCUUUCUUCCCCUCUACAGAUCCCAGCCCAACAACAGUUCCCGGCUCUUGGUUCCCAGUUCCUGCUCUCUCCCAGGCCCACAGUCCCAGCACCAGACCCAGCACCAAACGCUGGUUUUCCAGCCCUGGUCCCAACACAAUUUCCAACCCGGCCCCAACACCAACCCAGGUUUUCCCGGUCCCAGCCCCAACACCAGCACCAACCCUGGACAAAACACCGACCAGACACAACUGCCAUCUUCAUCCAGCAAAUGCCAGCUCAGACCGCCCACUUAACACAGUGACAUACACUCCACCAACCACUCCACCAGACCAACCAUGACUGACUGACCGACUGAUUGACAAAUUGACACUGAUGAUUAUUACGUUAUUUGAACAAAUGCAUUUGGUUAUUUUUAUUUAUUUAUUUAUUUUGGUAAUUGUUUGUUGAUUUUUGAUUUUAUUAACUUAAGUUGGAUUAAUCAUUUAUUGUUUUAAUUGUUUAUUAUUUUUGAAGAUUAACUAAAGUUUAUUUUAACAUUUGAACAUGUAUUGACUUGGAAUAACCAAAUAAACAUUCCUUAAAAUUAAACUAUGCCAAUACAAUACUUAUAGCAUAAGCCUUCACUUUGGUGGUCUAGUUUUACGCUAACACAGUGGUAUUAGAAAACUCCUGGCUUACAGGCCAAAUCAGGAUUGAAAGUCACAAUAUGAUGUUGCAAGCCACAAGUGAUGAGUAAUUCCUAUUGGAAUCCAGCAAGAGUGAGGAUUUCAAACAAUUUGAAUUUUUUGUCACCCGUAUCCUGCAUUCAGCAUGAAUGAGUCAGUGUUAGGAAAGGUGAACAGAAGACUACCGAAUAUAAUGUGAAAUAUAUAUUCACACACAUUGUGGACAUUUUAUCAAGGAGCUGCCAUAAAGUAGUGGGGAGCCAUCCACCGAAGGCAACCAAUGUGAAAUAUGACUGAUUGGCGUGGUUUUGAUGGGACUGUUUUACUUUCCACGGGGUAAAAUAAUAACUCUGGUUAUUAACACCAACACUUUUACACCACUGAGGGUUAGUUUCACUCUUACAGGGUGAAUGUAACUCUUGAAUCAACACUAGACAUUUUACACUGAAAAAAUCAACACUGGCCAAUUUGCUGUGCAGGAAAUAUUUCUGAAUAUUUAUAACUCAAUAACCAAACCAAUUAAACCACAUGUUUGUGUUGCUUUUAGUGAUGUUUUCCUUUGUCAUUUCGUGACAGAGAGCUGAGGUCAUUCAGAACAUCAUAUGUCAUGUGAGGUGUUUAUAAUGGAUGUUAUUAAGUAUUUAGUACCACUAGCCUGGGUUUUUCAAUUAUCUUUAUUCUUCUUUCAUAUUUGAUGUAGUUAUGUAUAAACAUGAUGAGGUUAUAACCCAUUAAUAUAUUAGCUUUUUCAAUUAUAUAAAAAUAUGUCUGCCUAUAUUAUGUCAAAGCAAACAUUGCCUGUUGAUGUGGUAGAGCUCUUUUUCCCCACUCUAUUUAUAGCCCACAUAAAUGUUGAUUGGUUAACACAUAUUUUGUAUCCUUGCUUUUAUUAAGAUAGGUCAACUGUGAAAAAGUUGUCAUCCAAUCAGCUAAAAGAGUGCCGGUACGUUACUGAUCCAUCCUGCCUGGCAGCAUUUUUUCACAUUUUCAUGAUCAAGUUUCACUGAAUUUCCUGUGCAGGUCCACAUGAGCAUGUGACUCACCCAACAUAUUGCGACCAUAAAAACACAAAGAUAGCACCUUAUUUUACAAUACUGUUUCCACUGUUUUUACCUGUGGAUACUUUCUGGUACUACUAAGAAUGAAUCACAAUUGAUAAACAUCUGCUGCUUAUUUCAAUAGAUCCAAUGAAAACAAAAUUCAUUUUUACUUUGAAAUAUCUCAGUAAGAACCUGAUAACUAUGAACUAAGUGCUGUCUACUGAGACAGCUCACCAUGAUAAACAAGUCAGGACCGCCAAGAAACAGUUAAACAGCUACCACUAGUGGCUGUUCAGGCUACAUAUUAACCUGAUCUUCAGUUCUCAAGAAAUGAAACUAGAUUUCCUGUAAGUGGGAUGUGGUUAUGGGAAUUAGGCUCAAUAAAUACACCUACACACAUUGUGGACAUUUUAUCAAGGAGCUGCCAUAAAGUAGUGGGGAGCCAUCCACCGAAGGCAACCAAUCUUAAACUCUAUAAACAAAGUAAUUCACUCAUUGUGGAGUGAGAAGAGCUAUCUCCAUCUACCAGGCAGCAAGUCUUCCAUCGCCUCCACCAAGCAGCUAUCUUCAAACUUGAAAAAAAAGGGAAAUGGAGCGUACUAAUCCAAGAGGUAUAGAAGAGAAGUAUUUCAGUGGAGAGCAUAAGAAUAUCACCACACUGAAAAAUGAGGCGAUCCUUAAUACAAAUGGGUACAUUUAUAAUCCCAUUCCACAACACCCAGAAGAACCUGAGUUUCACAUAUCCAAAGUGGUCCAUGUCACCACAGGAUCUAAAAUUGAUGAAAUCUUGGAUUCAAAUGGAUUUAGGGGCGGGGAUAGGAAUCUUCUGUGGUGGAGCCUAGCCAUCGAGCAUGAUGAUAUCAGAGCUGCAGAAGAACGUUACCUAGAGAAUAUCUUCCCAGACAGAACACCAGGGCAGAGAGAGGCACAGAGAGAGAUAGGUUCCUUCCUGAAUCAGUUCACCACCUCACCUGCCUUUAUGCAGGCAUCGCGUUAUGGGAACUUCAGGUUCACUCUCAGUCUGUCUGAUCUCCUGAAGAUGUACAGAGAGCAGAUAUGUGGUGGAGAAAAGCCUGUCCUGAAAGUGUAUGAAACCACUGUCUACAAACAGGAGAUAAUGUACUCUGUGCUUGUUCACUCUCCAAGUGUGGAUGAGUUUGAGAAGUACCCAUUUCUUGGUGAUGGCAGUGAUGAUGCUGUCUGUGGUUACAGGGAAAACGAUGCAGAGGGGGAAGGAAAAGGACACAUUGUCUGGCGAGCACAAGCCAUGUCAGCAACACAAAAAGUUAGGUUAACCAUAAACCACAUGGACAAAAUAGUAAAAACAGAUGGUAAUGUUUACAAUACAUGGUACAUGUGGGACCAUGUGACCCUGGCGCUCCACCUGCCAGAAGGCCUGCUCCUAAAUGUUGAUAGAGAGAAUCUGAUCAAAAACCUCACUGCUUGUGAGGCUGAUGAACCGUUUCUUGGGGGUCAUCCCAUGUCCCUCUCAGAUGCUGAGACAAAAGUUCAGAACUUAAACAACUAACUCUGGAACUGAUUAACAAAAUCAGUCAGGCAGGUUACAUUAAAUGUUUAAGGAUAAUCAAUUAACAAACCAUAAAAACAUUAUAUUAUGGUUUUAACCAUUAACCAUUUUCCCUUUUUUCGUUUUUUUUGCGCUCAAAUGAACUGUUUAGGGGUGAAAUAUUUGUCUCAUUCAAUAUUUGUCCCACAAUUUAAAACGCUUAUGCCAUAUUUGUAAAAGCACCAGAUGUCAGGGCUUUAUAUCACCCUAUGUCGUGUGACAAGUUAAAUCAUUUAAGCAUCUAUGCAGUUCUUAUGCAGAAAUGCUGAAUGACUUAUAAAGCUUUUUUAACUUGUUAUUUUUGUGGGACCAAAAUGAUGUUGUGUUCUGUAUUUUUAGGUUACUGUGUCAUAUCGGGGUCAUUUAUUGUCACUAAUAGAUGUAGUGUGAUGGGACUGCAGUGGCAGCAUUUAACACUCAUUCCCACUUUCCUCUAUACAUUUUUGCAUGAUGUAUGUAUAUUACCGCUUUUUGAUUACACUCUUUGAGUCUCUGUAUUGCUACAUAACUAUGAAUAUCAUGUAAUAUUUUCUCCAAUCUAAUUGAACACAAAAAGGAUGUUUUAAAUGAGAAGGUAGGGCUUAUCAAAUGAAAUGCAAGAUUUGAACUGUUCUAUUAACUGUUGUUUAUGUGCAAAGUUACACAUCAAAUCCACAUUGUUUGCCUUCUUUGGGAAUAAAUUAUUUAAAUGUCA